AUUGAACGCUGGCGGCAGGCUUAACACAUGCAAGUCGAGCGGAGAUGAGGUGCUUGCACCUUAUCUUAGCGGCGGACGGGUGAGUAAUGCUUAGGAAUCUGCUUAUUAGUGGGGGACAACAUUCCGAAAGGAAUGCUAACACCGCAUACGUCCUACGGGAGAAAGCAGGGGAUCUUCGGACCUUGCGCUAAUAGAUGAGCCUAAGUCGGAUUAGCUAGUUGGUGGGGUAAAGGCCUACCAAGGCGACGAUCUGUAGCGGGUCUGAGAGGAUGACCCGCCACACUGGGACUGAGACACGGCCCAGACUCCUACGGGAGGCAGCAGUGGGGAAUAUUGGACAAUGGGGGGAACCCUGAUCCAGCCAUGCCGCGUGUGUGAAGAAGGCCUUAUGGUUGUAAAGCACUUUAAGCGAGGAGGAGGCUACUGAGACUAUACUCUUGGAUAGUGGACGUUACUCGCAGAAUAAGCACCGGCUAACUCUGUGCCAGCCGCCGCAGUAAAAC
rnacentral:rRNA from 1 species